ACGAACGCUGGCGGCGUGCCUAAUACAUGCAGGUAGAACGCACAGUUUAUACCGUAGCUUGCUACACCAUAGACUGUGAGUUGCGAACGGGUGAGUAACGCGUAGGUAACCUGCCUGGUAGCGGGGGAUAACUAUUGGAAACGAUAGCUAAUACCGCAUAAUAUUAAUUAUUGCAUGAUAAUUAAUUGAAAGGUGCAAUUGCACCACUACCAGAUGGACCUGCGUUGUAUUAGCUAGUAGGUGAGGUAACGGCUCACCUAGGCGACGAUACAUAGCCGACCUGAGAGGGUGAUCGGCCACACUGGGACUGAGACACGGCCCAGACUCCUACGGGAGGCAGCAGUAGGGAAUCUUCGGCAAUGGACGAAAGUCUGACCGAGCAACGCCGCGUGAGUGAAGAAGGUUUUCGGAUCGUAAAGCUCUGUUGUAAGAGAAGAACGGGUGUGAGAGUGGAAAGUUCACACUGUGACGGUACCUUACCAGAAAGGGACGGCUAACUACGUG
rnacentral:rRNA from 1 species